UGAGGAAUAUUGGUCAAUGGGCGAGAGCCUGAACCAGCCAAAUCGCGUGAAGGAAGACUGCCUUAUGGGUUGUAAACUUCUUUUAUACAGGAAUAAAAAAGGGGACGUGUCCCUUAUUGCAUGUACUGUAUGAAUAAGCAUCGGCUAACUCCGUGCCAGCAGCCGCGGUAAUACGGAGGAUGCGAGCGUUAUCCGGAUUUAUUGGGUUUAAAGGGUGCGCAGGCGGGCUUUUAAGUCAGCGGUGAAAUCUCGGGGCUUAACUCCGAAACUGCCGUUGAAACUGGGAGUCUUGAGUAUGGAUGAAGUAGGCGGAAUUCGUUGUGUAGCGGUGACAUGCUUAGAUAUAACGAGGAACUCCGAUUGCGUAGGCAGCUUACUAAGCCAUAACUGACGCUCAAGCACGAAAGCGUGGGGAUCAAACAGGAUUAGAUACCCCUGGUAGUCCACGCCGUAAAACGAUGAUUACUAGUUGUAUGCGAUAUACCGUAUGUGACUAAGCGAAAGCGAUAAGUAAUCCACCUGGGGAGUACGCCGGCAACGGUGAAACUUAAAGGAAUUGACGGGGGUCAUAGCUGUUUCCU
rnacentral:rRNA from 1 species